ACAAAUCGUAAAUGGCCUUGGUGGAGCUUCACCGGUGACAGAUCGGAGCUGGGGUUGGGUCCAUUGGGUUGCUAUGAGGUCGAGGAUGAAGUGGUGAAGAAAUGGUGGCCGGUGGUGGUGCGAUGGCGGCGCGCGAGCACAA